rnacentral:rRNA from 1 species
CAGCAGCCGCGGGAAUACGUAGGGUGCAAGCGUUAAUCGGAAUUACUGGGCGUAAAGCGUGCGCAGGCGGUUAUAUAAGUCAGAUGUGAAAUCCCCGGGCUCGACCUGGGAACUGCAUUUGAGACUGUAUGGCUAGAGUGUGUCAGAGGGGGGUAGAAUUCCACGUGUAGCAGUGAAAUGCGUAGAUAUGUGGAGGAAUACCGAUGGCGAAGGCAGCCCCCUGGGAUAACACUUACGCUCAUGCACGAAAGCGUGGGGAGCAAACAGGAUUAGAUACCCCAGUAGUCCCUGUCUCUUAUAC